GCAUGAUGGACUGCAGUGGUGCAAUCAUGGCUCACUGUAGCUUCGACCACCCUGGCUCCGGUCAUCAUCCUACCUCAGCCUCCCAGGAACUGGGAUCCUAAAAAUUAUGGAACAAAUUGUAGAAACUCAAGCAACUCUCUCCAAAGCCCAGGGUUCAGCAAGAGUAAGCAAGAGGCACUGAGCCGCUGGAGUCUGCACAUUGAUAAAUUUACUUACAGUUGUAAAUAAAUUGCAUCAUCUUCAGCUAGUAA